rnacentral:rRNA from 1 species
GGUGCGCCUAACACAUGCAAGUCGUACGGGCGUCCUUCGGGAGCUAGUGGCGAGACGGGUGAGUAACGCGUAGGUAAUGUACCUCUUCGCUGGGGAGUACCUAACCUGAAAAGGUAGGCUAAAACCGAAUGAGCUUUUUCAAGCGGCAUCGCUUGAUUUGCAAACCUCCGGGGCGAGGAGAUCAGCUUGCGUACUAUCAGCUAGUAGGUGAGGUAAUGGCUUACCUAGGCUUCGACGGUUAGCCGGUCUGAGAGGAUGAUCGGCCACAUUGGAACUGAAACACGGUCCAGACUCCUACGGGAGGCAGCAGUGAGGAAUCUUGCGCAAUGGGCGAAAGCCUGACGCAGCGACACCGCGUGAGGGAUGAAGGUCUUCGGAUUGUAAACCUUUGUCAGUGGGGACGAGAACGGACGGUACCCGCUGAGGAAGCAUCGGCUUACUACGUGCCAGCCGCUGC